rnacentral:rRNA from 1 species
CCUACGGGUGGCAGCAGUGAGGAAUAUUGGUCAAUGGCCGAGAGGCUGAACCAGCCAAGUCGCGUGAGGGAAGAAUGUCCUAUGGAUUGUAAACCUCUUUUGUCAGGGAGUAAAGUCACCAACGUGUGGCUGUUGGUGUGUACCUUAUGAAUAAGCCUCGGCUAACUCCGUGCCAGCAGCCGCGGUAAUACGGAGGAUGCGAGCGUUAUACGGAUUUAUUGGGUUUAAAGGGUGCGUAGGCGGGUUAUUAAGUCAGCGGUUAAAUCGUGGAGCUCAACUCCAUCCGGCCGUUGAAACUGAUGAUCUUGAGUGGGCGAGAAGUAUGCGGAAUGCGUGGUGUAGCGGUGAAAUGCAUAGAUAUCACGAAGAACUCCGAUUGCGAAGGCAGCAUACCGGCGCCAGACUGACGCUGAGGCACGAAAGCGUGGGUAUCGAACAGGAUUAGAUACCCGGGUAGUC